rnacentral:tRNA from 1 species
GCCUGGGUGGCGGAAUUGGUAGACGCAAGGGACUUAAAAUCCCUCGAUACCUAGUAUCGUGCCGGUUCAACUCCGGCCCUAGGCACCA